CAUAGGUACACACACAGGUACACACAUAGAUGUACACACAGGUACACACACAGGUACACACAUAGAUGCACACAGGUACACACAUAGGUACACACACAGGUACACACAUAGAUACACACAGGCACACACACACAGGUACACACAUAGGUACACACACAGGUACACACAGGUACACACACACAGGUACACACACAGGUACACACAUAGGUACACACACAGGUACACACAUAGGUACACACACAGGUACACACAUAGGUACACACAUAGGUACACACACAGGUACACACAGGUACACACACAGGUACACACACACAGGUAUACACACACAGGUACACACACAGGUACACACAUAGGUACACACACACAGGUACACACAUAGGUACACACACAGGUACACACAUAGAUACACACACAGGUACACACACACAGGUACACACAUAGGUACACACAUAGGUACACACACACAGGUACACACAUAGGUACACACACAGGUACACACAUAGAUACACACACAGGUACACACAUAGGUACACACACACAAAGGUACACACAGGUACACACACACAGGUACACACACAUGUACACACAGAGGUACACACACACAGGUACACACAUAGAUACACACACAGGUACACACACAAGUACACACAUACUGUAGAUACACACACACAGGUACACACACAGGUACACACAUAGAUACACACACACAGGUGCACACAUAGAUACACACACACAGGUACACACACAGGUACACACAUAGAUGUACACACAGGUACACACACACAGGUACACAUAGAUACACACACAGGUACACACACAGGUACACACAUAGAUGUACACACAGGUACACACAUAGAUACACACACAGGUACACACACAGGUACACACAUAGAUGUACACACAGGUACACACAUA